rnacentral:rRNA from 1 species
AGUGAACGCUGGCGGUAGGCCUAACACAUGCAAGUCGAACGGCAGCACAGUAAGAGCUUGCUCUUACGGGUGGCGAGUGGCGGACGGGUGAGGAAUACAUCGGACUCUACUUUUUCGUGGGGGUUAACGUAGGGAAACUUACGCCAAUACCGCAUACGCCCUACGGGUGAAAGCAGGGGAUCUUCGGACCUUGCGCGAUUGAAUGAGCCGAUGUCGGAUUAGCUAGUUGGCGGGGUAAAGGCCAACCAAGGCGACGAUCCGUAGCUGGUCUGAGAGGAUGAUCAGCCACACUGGAAGGGGGACGCGGUCCAGAGGCCUGCGGGAGGCAGCAGUGGGGAAUAUUGGACAGUAGUCGCAAGCCUGGUCCAGCCAUACCGCGUGUGUGAAGAAGGCCUUCGGGUUGUAAAGCCCUUUUGUUGGGAAAGAAAAGCAGCAGGUUAAUACCCCGCUGUUCUGACGGUACCCGAAGAAUAAGCACCGGCUAACUACGUG